rnacentral:lncRNA from 1 species
GGUUCUUCCCCUUUCCCACCGGGUUUGAUCCAUUCAUGCCCAGUUUUGCUAUUUUUCAUUUAUUUUUCAUUUAUUUUCAUGUCUACUUUCAGCCAAUUAAUUCCCAGCUUGGUCCAGUUGAACUUUAAUAACACCUUUACAAAUUCAAAUUUCAGAAUGUAGGAUUCCAUAAAUCUCAAAGGAAGAGAAAAAGAUUACCCUCAAGACCCACUGGAAUCAGACUGAUUGGAGAAGGAUAUUCCUCAUGCUUGAGGCUUUUUGUCUUAUAGAUAGCCUCAAGACAACCUCUAACUUUGGCAGAGGGUGUACAUUCCUGUCUCAGCCCUCAAGACUCCACACUUCAGCUACAGAAGAGCCAUAGGAGCAGUUAACCAUGGAGCCAGCUCCCUAGUCCUUUGAUUAAAGCGUUGAGCAUCACAUACAAGUCUCCUCUCUUGGAAAGAAGAGGAAAAGAAGCAGAGAUGGAAUUGGUGACGUUGGGGUAGCAAUUAGAGAAAGGUACAUCAAGGUUAACACGGAAGAAGUCAGCUCACAGAGGAGACCAGAAACCCUUCCCUGGCAUCUUCUAACAGAGCAUGCUUCAUGAAAUACCAAUGCAGGGAACACAGAAGAUUGUUCAUCUCACUAGCAGUUAAUUUUGGUGUCUUUCCUUAUGUCACUACCCUGUGUUCAUUCUCAGGAGUGCCUCUGCUUUGCUUUAAAAAGGUAUCUCUCUUUCUACUUCAAGCCUCAUUUAGAAGGAAGACUUUUUCUUCCUACUGAUGACUUUUGAGGUUUGCAAUGAACCUGUAUCAUGUUUAUCCUCUAAACGCUAAUAAAAUUGUCCUGAG